AAAAAUUUAGUUAAACUAUAACGUUAGCUUGUCAAGCUAAAAUUAUUAUAAAAAUAAUUUUUA
rnacentral:tRNA from 1 species